UUUCUUCUAUGAUUUCUUUCUGACAUAUCUUUCUUCCGCUUGUAGGUUUGAAUCGACUUUUGUGGUUUCACAUGUGGAGUGAGAAGUUGGGUAGCGAAGGGGUUGGUUGUUAUCUUUGGUUAUCUAGCUGUAUGAGUGGUGUACAUUCUUCAUAAAGCUAGAUAACCGAAAGUAACAAGAAUCCCAUUACACUGCUAAAAGGCAAUGAGACCCCUUCACCCCCUGCACCUGCUCCAUUCUUCAUCAACAAAAAAAGAAAUGGUUGAGGCAAAACCAAACCAGAAGCCUGAAAGGCCACAGGCACACUCCAUUCCAAGGAAACUCAUGAGACUGGGAGAUGGCGAAAGCGAAGAGGAGGGGCUGUCGUUUCUUUCACCAGCCUCCCCUGCCCACGUAUCUCCUGCUUCCCCUCCCCUCCUUGAUGCUUGGCCCUUCUCCUGUAUCAGAAGACGCAGCCGUCGCCACCAUCUUAGGAGAAGGCUGGCAUGGCAUGAAAUGGCAGGGGGAUCCCAAGAGGUGAAAGCUGGAAUUGGCUCAUGAUGACAUGCAUUGAGCGAGUGGACAGACAAUGAGGUUACGUUAACUUAUGGAGAAGAUCCUUCAUCAUCUGGCCAUGGCAGUUUCAUCCACUGAUACAGGACAUACCAGAACCAGGCACCUAAAUCCAGCACGAUGACUAUGUAUCAUAUGUGUGCCCCAUCUUUUGAACAGCAAAGCACUUAACAUCAUAAACUUUGGGACAUUCUUGUUAUUCUGAAAGGCUCAUCAAGACCUGUUUCAGAGGUAUCUUCAAGGUGUGGUUGAGUGGUACUUAUCAAUUUGCCUGAUGAACUGCUAGGGGACAAGGUAUUCUUCUCCCCAGCCAAAAGAAGCACCAUUGUCAGACCCACGUUGAACAGAAAAAUACUUGGAUAUUCUUGGUCAUAUGAGAAAAAGCUGAUGGUUAAAGACACCCAUCAUGAUUCAUGGUAUCCAGUCACCUUCAGCUAAAUGAUCUGAAGACAUUCAGCACAGAAACAAAGACUAAGGUUCUCAUUGUGAUAUCAGCAAUAUCAACUGGACCAUUUGCUCAAAAGAACACCUGCAGAUAUGGAGGCACUGGAAAGACUAGAGCACAUUGGUGUUUCUCUGGAAGAUCACAUGGAUAGACAUGCCUUUGGAGUCUCAGUCACUACAGCCUACCCAUAGAAUAUUAACAUCUUAAAAAAAAAAAUAAUAAUAAUUUCCUUUGUAAAUAUCCUCCAAGCAUUAACAAUUUAAAGCACUUAUGAAAUGCACUUGAAAAAAAGACAAUCCAAAUUAAGCUGAAGACACUUGGGUUAACAGUAUUCUGUAGUAUUCAUCUCACGGGGACACUACACCAAACUGUUGAUGUAGACCAAUAAAGUUUGUACAGUUUAGGAAGACA
rnacentral:lncRNA from 1 species